AACGCAUAUGCAGAACGCAGGCUAAGGAAGUCUUCGGGGAGGAAAGAGUAUCUCAGAGGGGCAGGUGCAGCCACAGCGUGGGCCCGCGUGCCUGGUGCUAAGCUGGGCCCAUUACGCGUACAUCACAUGAUUUAAUUCUCACUAAAUUGCAAGCUGGGAUGGGGCGGGGGGACGUGAGGGUUAUUUUUUUAAUCUCUUUUUGUAGUUGGAAAAUCCUGGAGCCCAGAAAGGUGAAGCAAACUGCCUGAGGUCAAGCUCAUAAUGUGAAGUGGAGCUGCAAUGUCUACUCAAGAGUGUCUGACAUCUGCACUUUUUACUCUGCCAGGUAAGAAGACCCUCACCAGAUGUGGCCCCUCACUCCUGGACUUCCAAGCCUCCAGAAUCAUGAACUAAAUACAUUUCUAUUUGUUAUAAAUUACUCAGCCUCAGGUAUUGCUAGAGCAGUAGAAAACAGACUGAGAAAGGCUGUGUCUCCCUCCUCAGACUGAAGGAUCUUUGUGAUCAGAUGCUGUGUCUAUAUCCUUUGUUCAUUUGUUUGAUAUUUGCUGAGGACCUUUUAAGUGCCAGGCACUAUUCUAGAUUCAGAAUACUAUGUUGAAAAGACAGACAAAACCACUGGUCUCAUGGAACUUACAAGUUAGUUGCGACAAAUGACAAUAAACAACAAACAAUUUUAGGUUACAAUAAGUACUAAGAAGCAAAUAAAAGCAGCAUAAUCGUCA
rnacentral:lncRNA from 1 species